UACGUAGGGAGCGAGCGUUGUCCGGAUUCAUUGGGCGUAAAGAGCUCGUAGGCGGCUUGGUAAGUCGGAUGUGAAACCUCCAGGCUCAACCUGGAGUCGCCAUCCGAUACUGCUAUGGCUAGAGUCCGGUAGGGGCCCACGGAAUUCCUGGUGUAGCGGUGAAAUGCGCAGAUAUCAGGAGGAACACCGAUGGCGAAGGCAGUGGGCUGGGACGGUACUGACGCUGAGACGCGAAAGCGUGGGGAGUAAACAGG
rnacentral:rRNA from 1 species